AAUCAACGCUGGCGGCGUGCCUAACACAUGCAAGUCGAACGCGAGAGGGGCUUCGGCCCCGAUUGAGUGGCGAACGGGUGAGUAACGCGUGGGUGACCUACCUUCGAGUGGGGAUAACGUCCCGAAAGGGACGCUAAUACCGCAUAACAUCCUGCUUUUGAAUGGGUGGAGAUCAAAGCCGGGGAUCGCAAGACCUGGCGCUUGAUGAGGGGCCCGCGUCUGAUUAGCUAGNGGUUGAGGUAACGGCCCACCAAGGCAACGAUCAGUAUCCGGCCUGAGAGGGCGGAC
rnacentral:rRNA from 1 species